rnacentral:lncRNA from 1 species
GAAUAAGGACAGAUGACAGUAUUUAUGAAAUGCUCAACAGUUCUUUAUACAAUGUAAGUCCAGAUGGAGUUUUUGAUGAUGCUUGCUACAGGCUGUUUUUUCCUGGAAGAUUUCUGAGACUUGCCAAUUCCUCAAUUUGAAAUGCUUUCACCACAAGACACAUUUUAUCAUCGUAAUAUCAAGGGAUGUUACGUAAGGGUAAGACAAGAUGACUCAAGACUGACAGAUAUGUGCCAAAGGAAUGCUUGGCAAACCAUAGUUAUGCUGGUGCUUGUGCUUUUUGUCUGAAGAAUCUGUUGGCCUUGAUGACUUCAGUGUGCCCCAUUUUCCUGGGAGAUUUUUCAGACUUGCCAGUUCCUCAAUUUGAAAUGCCUUCACCACAUGAGACCCACUGACUGGGACAGAACAUGGACAUUUGGAGAAUGUGAAUUCCACUUCCAGAUCAAGUGGGGAGAUGCCUCACUAUGAUACCUGUAAGGAUGGAGAUUGACUGAGGCCAUUUUAAAUGGAAUGAAAGAAACAACUAACUUUGACUCAACAUAGUCUAACUUCACAUUGGCUAUCCCAGUCACAAAUUGGUUACAGUCAUAUCAACCAAAAUGAAUGUCUUCACGAUAGAAAAACCCAAGGAUUGGAGAGAAAUGUUUUAACCUAUGAAUUGUAGUUAACAGAAGAUAUGCAGUUAAUUAUGAAUAAGAAGCCGAUGACAAGUCAAAGGUACAUACAAUGGACUAUAAGAUCUCAGCAUGCCUGUCAGACUGAGCUGGUUUGAACUAAAACAACACUAAAAUAUACCCAUAUAAUGUUACAAAAAUAUAUGCCAUAUUAUAUAUAAAGAUGUGAAUAAUGUAAAAGUAUGAAUUAACAUUAAUAUGGUAUCAAUUCUUAAUCACAUAACAUGUAAAACAUGCUGUUGAGGUUCUUACUUCCGAUAAACUACAUUCUCAACCAUGACGUAUGCUAUCAUUUUCACUCACACCUUUAUCCCAUAACUCCCAGUAGUAGUUUGAGAGUUCAGUUGUUUCUUUUAUUUUGCUGGAAUUGUUGAGUGAAGUUUUGUGAUUUCUCCAGCGAAUUUGAAAUCUUGUUCUUUAUAUAUUAUGUAUUCUGUCAAGCUGUCACCAUAAUGGGACACUCCUCAGAGUUUCAGUAUUUGUAGGUACCGGCUGGAGUGUCAGGCUUUUUCACAGUAGCUACUGACCCCCUGUUGCUCAUGCAGCCCUACAAUACUUACUCUGUAUUUCUGUUGAAGAUCUUAUGGUAGGGGUAACCUUUAGGAAAUAGGAGGUCAAUUAGUUGAAGAAACUGUCUACUGAUAUUGAUGGUAAUGUUUUGAUCAAAUGGGGUCUCGGGUGUUUAACCAAAUGAUGGUGCCCUUGCAUUUUUGUUUUGCCUUGGCACUCUGUGCGAAUGGAGGCAAAUGUAAGAUUGUAAUUAAAGCUGCUUUUCUGGAGAGCAGUUUAGAUCUAUCAAACUUUUAAAAUUUUAUUCCAUAGGCAAAUUUUCGCUGCUCAAGCAACAGUCUGAUGAUUGAAAAAGGACGCCACAUGAAUAUAGAAAAAGACCGUAGAUUUUGCCCAUAUUGUUUGACUCAGAAAGUUUAUACUGUAGAAAACGAGAUACACUUUCUACUACUGUGUCCGUUGUAUAAUGACUUGAGGGAGAUAUAUUUCAUAACACAAUGGACAAAACACAGUAAAAAUGAACGAUUGUUUGGAUUAUGUCUGACAUUUGUACGGAUGGCAUAUUCUCAUGAGCAAGAUUUUUAACUACUGCACUUGCAUUGCAAAGAAAAGAUUAGUUGCUAUUGAAGUGAGUUUAAUUCACAGCGUUGACUAAGAACAUGACUAUUAUAGCAUUUACAAUCAUUUAAAAUCUUCAGAAUGAGGACUAUUAUGAAUGUAUGUUUUUUUUUUUAUUAAAAUUUUUUUUUUUUUAAGUUGUGAACGAUCUCCCGCCUCCCAUCUGGGUAGUGCACCUCCCUUUCGUGGAGUAGGGGCACUCGAUCAAUUUCUCCGUCCUACUCCUUAGCUUCCCUCACUACGCUGGGUGGUUCCUCUUCUUCAGAAGAGCUUAGGUGUUCCGCGGGUUCAGGGGGUGGUCCUAUCUUCAAUCUCUUUCCCCCUGCAGUUGGUCUGGGGCUGGCCAAAGGGGACAGGGCAAGUGUAAGCAGGUGAUAAACAACACUAGGUUUUACAAAUAUAUUUAUUCUUUGGAGAUAAAAAUAAGGCUUCCAGACAUACCUGUAAGAAGCAACAUAGAAUCAUAAUAAGUAAUAAGAAACUACAAGAACGACAGAUAUUGUUUAAAAGAUUUUGGGAAUAAAGCAGCGAAUUGCACUUACUUUAAAACAGAAUAAUUGUAGGCAACAAAUAAUCCCCGCUCACGGAACAUCAAACCAAAACAAAAAAACUCCAACAUCCAAACAACAACGAGAGCGUCAUGGCCUCACCAGUCCACACUUGAGCAACAUCAUAGGCCGCGCAUGUUGCUGCACAUUGUCAGUGGCAACGACGUGUAACACGUUACACAAGGAUAGCCUCCUCCCCAGGCGUAACAUCCACCAACAGUGGGGGCUCCUCCAAUAGGUCUGGGGCAAGGGCCGCUGGCCUCUUCCUCUCCUACUCUGUCUUGCAGGCAGGUUUACAUUUGAAAUGUUCCGCUAGUAUGCGGUUCUUCACAAAUUUUAGACCACAGUAACAAUUCAGGCAACUUCACUCAUGCUGCUUUCUGUUACUACGAUCUGAAAAAGUCUUCUUGCAAUAAAGACAGCCUGGCAUGUCUAAAAAAGAAAGUAGGAGUAGAUUACUGGAAAGCUGACCCAGCAAAUCUGGGGGAAUAAUAGAAACAAACAAUAGAAAACAGUAAAUCUGGAAUACGUGAAUUUGUAUGACUGGGGUAAGUCUCGUAGUCGAGACUCUACAAUGGAAACGUUUCCGAAAGAAAGUCGGUUACUUUCGGUACAAAAAAUAUAUUUAAAAAGUCAAAAUGAGUCACAUAAUGUUUGGAAUGGUUAAUUAUUUGUCAUAAAUGUUUUCGCCUCUUUCAGUUAUUUUUUUAUUUUUUUUUUCCAGCACUGUUUUUUUUCCAUACUUUUGUCAGUAUCUUCAUAUUGCGCAAUAUUCCUGCUGCUUCUUAGCCUUAAAAUUAAGAUUUAAGAUUCAAAUCUGCACAACUCGAUCAAAUUUUUAAUUACUCUUCUGGCUCUGAAUCCAUUUUCUUCAUUCUAAUUUUUUAUAGAGGAUGAGUUCAUCUUUGUUCUUCUAUUCCUUUUUAAAGCAAGGUAUUGUAUGCAGAUUGCAUUAUAAUACUGGUAAGCUUUCUUUUUUUCAUUAAGGUUUUUAUACUAAAGAUGUUCAUAUAUGAUGUUAUUAGAUUUUUUUUAAACCAAAGAUACAUGUAUACAUGUUAAACCAUAUUCAUUUUAUUACUAACUGAUUCUAUCAUUUCAUACUAUUGAGAGAUGUUACAUGAAUGACUCUGUUUAUGAAUGGUUUCAGGUCCCACUCUGUUUUUGAUGGUAUAGGGGUCACAGCAGUAAGGCUGAAUUACAAUACCUUGACAUAAACAGAUAGGAAGUUAACAAUUUGAUGAGUAUAAGCCAAAGUCAAAUUAUUAAACAAAGACAGUAAAUAAAUGACCAAUAAAGACCAGCCUUUCAUAUACUUUUACUCUGAAGUGGUCAUUACCAGACAUCGCAUCUACACACACAGUCACAACCCACACUUGCAUCAGAAAUGUCUGAUUUUUGAUUAGUUUCAGGAAGUUCUUUGUCACAUUGUCCACAUCUAUAUGCAGGUGUGUCAAAAGAAUAUUGUUUGUUCUUAUUGCUCCAGGGCAGAAUAUUAGGUACUAUAAAUUGCUUAAAAAAACUAACACAAGCAGGCAAUAAUUUUCUUUGGCAAAAUUUAUCAUUAUAUCUAACCUCAAUCACCAUCAUGUCAACAUUUGUCCAAAUUACAAAUUCACAUCUAUAAAAUAUGUUUCCCUUGCACUGCAUUCUUUUUCAUCAUUCCAAUUUACUUUACUUUAAGGAGUGGGAAGACCCUAAAUUUUCCACUCCCACAUUUUUCAAAGUGUUCUGAGCAGGUGGUGUUUCGCACACUUUGGUCUUUCACCUGCUGUUUAUGAACUCAAAUUUAUCUAUCUAUCAAUCUUUUUUAGUUUCUUUGAAUUUUCCACUGUGUUAUGCAGUUUCAUCUUCCAUACUUUUGUCAAUAUCUUCAUAUUGCACAAUUAUGAAUAUUCCUGCUGGUUCUUAGCCUUAAGAUUAAGAUUUGAGAUUCAAAUCUGCAAGACUCUCUCAAAUUUUUAAUUACUCUUCUGGCUCUGAAUCCAUUUUCUUCAUUCUAAUUUCUUUUAUAGUGGAUGAGUUCAUCUUUGUUUUAUUCCUCUUGAAACCAAGGUAUUGUAUGCAGAUUGCAUUAUAAUACUGACAAGCUUCCUUUUUUUCAUUAAGGUUUUUAAACUAAAGAUAUGAUAUAUAAUGUUAUUAGAUGUUUUUUAAACCAAAGAUACAUGUAUACAUGUUAAACCAUAUUCAUUUUAUUACUAACUGAUUCUAUGGGUAUAUGAUAUGGGAUGCCUUGGGAAGUAUCAACUCACCUUUGAUGUCCAUAUCCUGUGCUCCCCAGGAGCACUUCACCAUCAUGCUGUCCAGAGAGGUUACCCUAAUUACUCUGUUUAUAUAGGGUUUUGGCUCCCACACUAUGUUUUUAUAGGCUUCAUGGCAGUAGGGCUGAAUUUCAAUACCAUAAAUAUACCAUACUCAUAAACAGAUAGGAAAGUAACAAUAUGAUGAACAUUAGCCAAAAUCUGAUGAGCAAACAAUGGAUGUUUGAUAACUGAAGAAGAACUGAUUUUCAUACACUUUUCCACUUAAAUGUUCAUUGAAGUAGAAAAAUGCUCAUGAUAAAAUACAUUAUAAAAUGACAUUUCUUUUAAAUUAAAAAUCAAUACCUAAAACAUAGUCUAGAACAUGAUGACACAUUUAACUUCUUUUCAGUAUGUUUAUUACUGAACUAAAUUGGUCGCACCAGCUGAAAUUCAAGUUCUGAAACCUUUGAUGCCAAAAACGCAACCCCGUUGCAUUGCAUAAUAUCAUUAAUCCAAUACAUUGUCUUUGCAUAUGUGUUAAUGAUUUAUAUUAAUCAUAUUUUCAAAACCAGUAAGUUCAACUAAUUUACUUAAUAUACAGAUAGAAAGAAUGUCUCUUCUCAGAAUUAACUCCUUAUUCAUGUUUUACAUUCUUAAAUCAUUGAGGAUCGAGAAGCUAUAUUGGUGAUGUUAGUUAUAAUAAAUUGAU